rnacentral:rRNA from 1 species
GACAUAGGUGGCGAACGUUAUCCGGAAUUACUGGGCGUAAAGAGUGCGUAGGUGGUUCAAUAAGUUACUGGUGGCAAUCGGGGCCCAACCCCCGUGGAAGUUGGUAAUACUGUUGAACUAGAGGACCGGAGAGGUUAAUGGAAUUCUAUGUGUAGCGGUAAAAUGCUCAAAUAUAUAGAGGAACACCAAACGGCGAAGGCAGUUAACUAUUCGGUGCCUGACGUUGAGGCACGAAAAGCGUGGGGGAGCAAGACGGAUUAGAAACCCC